UUAAUGAAUGUGAUCUUAUCAUGUUUGAUCAUGUUUAGGCUUUAAUCCACUCAGUGAGCCUUUGUUCUACUUAAGGUUUGGGUUAACACCACUCAGACUGGUACUGUUACACACAGUUUGCUCUGUUAUGUCACUCUGUGUGCCUAAUACAAUUCAAUACAGGUAGUGUGACUGUACAGAAUAAACUGUGCUCUGAGUGAGCUCUUACAGGUUCUUCCGGUCCUUUUUUUCAUUCAGUUUUCUUCUCCCAUCCGGGGAGUAGCUGAACAGCGGACUCCAGAGAUAUCAAGGCCUAUGUCACAUAACCAGACCCCAUCACCUUCCUCAUCAUGUGACCUGCAAUUCCACAGAGACAGACGCUACAAACAGCAACACUAAAAACAAGCACAGCAACAAUAUGUGGCUGACCAAUCGCCUGGCUGACAAGGUGUGUAGGGAAUGAGCGGUGAGCCGGGUGCUGGAGAAGCUAAGUGGUUUUGCAGAGCAGCAGACGCUCAGGGUUUGACCCCAGCUCUUCCUGAAGAUGUUGGAGGGUCUGGAGUUGUGGGAACUCUGUCUGCCUGAGCUGUGUGUGGCCAUCCAGAUUGCUAUGGAACAUGUGGCCCAGAUGCCCAGUGAGGUGUAUGAUGCCUGGCUGUGUUCGAGGGUAACUCUGCCACCCCAGUACCACCAUGCCCCCUCAUACACCAGGUGAACCAUCCUCAGAAAGGCCUGAAGGAAGGCUACAGAGUGGAACAAAUAGAUAAAGAGCACUCAGACACACUGGGGCUAUGAAUUUAAUGUGAGCUUGAGGCUGAGAUUGCCUAAAAUAGCCUUAAGAGUAAUGAGGGAAAAAUGAUAAGUAGGAAUAGUUCAUUUGCAUUUCAGCCUGCUCAGAAUUCACAUGAAUAGGUAAGUAGGAGAUGUUGGCACCACACAGCCAGCAGCAGAGAAAAUGCCAACUUCAAACCAAUCGCUGCCUCAACAAGAAGUAACCAUUUAAAAAUGUAACAAGUGAAGGUUGGAAGACAUAAUAUUUAUAUCUUCAUAAUUAAGUAAAAUCGUCCAAAUAAGCACAUGCACACAUCCUAAUAGGCACAUGUUCAUACAUGUGUACAGGUUAACACAGAGAUACAGACACACACAAUACGGAGAAGCAGGAAGUAAGACUGCUGCAUACUUCUUCCUUUUUAUCUAAGGAAUCUACAGUGGUUACAAAGAGU